rnacentral:rRNA from 1 species
GACGAACGCUGGCGGCGUGCUUAACACAUGCAAGUCGAACGGGAAGGCCCUGCUUUUGUGGGGUGCUCGAGUGGCGAACGGGUGAGUAACACGUGAGUAACCUGCCCUUGACUUUGGGAUAACUUCAGGAAACUGGGGCUAAUACCGGAUAGGAGCUCCUGCUGCAUGGUGGGGGUUGGAAAGUUUCGGCGGUUGGGGAUGGACUCGCGGCUUAUCAGCUUGUUGGUGGGGUAGUGGCUUACCAAGGCUUUGACGGGUAGCCGGCCUGAGAGGGUGACCGGCCACGUUGGGACUGAGAUACGGCCCAGACUCCUACGGGAGGCAGCAGUGGGGAAUAUUGCACAAUGGGCGGAAGCCUGAUGCAGCAACGCCGCGUGCGGGAUGACGGCCUUCGGGUUGUAAACCGCUUUCGCCUGUGACGAAGCGUGAGUGACGGUAAUGGGUAAAGAAGCACCGGCUAACUACGUG